UACGUAGGGUGCGAGCGUUAAUCGGAAUUACUGGGCGUAAAGCGUGCGCAGGCGGUUUUGUAAGCCAGAUGUGAAAUCCCCGGGCUUAACCUGGGAAUGGCAUUUGGGACUGCAAGGCUUGAGUGCGGCAGAGGAGACUGGAAUUCCUGGUGUAGCAGUGAAAUGCGUAGAUAUCAGGAGGAAUAUCGGAGGCGAAGGCGGCCAACUGGUGAUGCAUUGACACUGAGGUGCGAAAGCGUGGGGAGCAAACAGG
rnacentral:rRNA from 1 species